AAAUAACCAAUCACAAUAGGGGAUUAUCACGCUUCCUGGUUCCGGUGGCGGGAUUUGUCUUCGUUGUGCAUGAACACUUCCGGCGCACUUCCACCAUGGCUGAAACAAAGGCGAGAUGUCACUGCUCUCUGUUCCACUUUGUACAUCUAACAAACAACACCAACCCUACUUAAGUUUUCAUGGAUUCCCGACUGAAAUGAGUCUAAGGAAGAAGUGGAUUCAAGCGGUUCGCCGGGAUGAAGGGCCAAACUUUAAAAUAAAACAAGGUAGCAUGUUUGUUUGUAGCCGGCACUUUAGUGAAUCAGACUACAAACGCUACAGCUAGCAACCAACCGGGGUCACACCAAGCGACUGAAAAUCGGGUCUGUACCCUCCCGUUUCCAGUGGAACAACUGGGGACUGCCAAGAAGGGGGUCUGUUUAUAAAAGAGCAUCAACUCGCUUAGGCCAUGACGUUCACCCAUCCCUUCCCCUGGAGCAACCGCUGCCCUGUGAAUAAGAGCCGAUGGAGGAGAUCUCAGCUUCGGUGGUGAUGACAGAACAUGAUUUCGGUUCUGCUCCUAAACCAGGUUUGUCAGUGUUUGUUAGUGUUCUGAAAUAUUGGCCUACUAUUACCCCAUACUGUUCUUAAACCACCUACCUGACAGGAUGUACUACCUAUGGUUUAAUCACAGAAUUGGCUAUUAGUAGGUUAUACCGAGGAGGUAGGUCAACUUUUCAGAACUCAGGCACAACAUGUUUAGUCUUAUUAAUGUCUCAGCAUUUGACCAAACCACAAUGUGAAAAGCUUCAUCACAAGUACAAAUGUUGCAUUUUAUAUCUUACUUAAUUAAUUGUAAAGGUGAAUAUUGAGCUAUAAAAAGCAAAAUUUAAAAGCAAUAUUGAGCUACAAAAAGCAAUUUCUUUAGAGGUCCAAACUGCUUCCAAUAUGCAAGUCACAGCCAAAAUCUGGGUUAGAUGUUUUAAUUUCAUCUCAUACAGGUGCACUGGAUGCUGCUGCUGUAAACAUACAGCAAUUGGAAGAAACAGUCAAGGAGCUGAUGAGAGCUGUCUCAGCUGAAAGUGGUUCAAGUGCAUUUUCACAGAUUCUGUGUCUCAGACGCGGACAUCCUUUUUUACACCAGAUUCACGUCAAGAGAUGUUUUUUGUGACUUCUGGGAGGUUAUUCAACCAUCUGCCUCCAUGUUGGUUUAUUGGUCGAAAGCUCAGAAAAAGAAACAAACAUUUGAACCCAUUUCUCCCAGUCCAACGUGUAGACUGCAACUGGUUGAGUUUUUUCUCUUCUGCUGCCGGGUUGCUGCAGGCCUGCAAGAGAAGGUGCUGGCUGACAUGUUUCAGGUCAGUGUGUCCACUGUCUACCAUGUUGUUAUACCGUGGGCCAACUACCGUUACCUGCUCCUUGGCUCCCUCCCCAUCUGGAUGAGUAAACUGCAAGUCAAGAACACCAUGCCAAGAUAAUUUGUGCAGUACAGUCCAGAUGUUCAGAGCUGACUGAACGAAGUGGACUGCUGGAUUUACUGGAGCCAGGAGAUGGCUGCAUGGCAGACAAGGGUUUCACCAUCGAGAAGCCACUAGCUGAUCGUGGGACAACGCUGAUUAUACCACCCUUCAAGAUGACAGUUCACUGAAGAGGAUGCUCUGAAAACACAAGCAAUCGCUCGACUUCGAAUCCUCGUAGAAAGAGCAAUAGGCAGAGUCAAGGAAUACCGCAUCUGGGAACACACUGUCCUUUCACCUUGUCUGCGACAGUCAAUCAGCUGUGGACCGUCUGCUGUGUGAUGACCAACUUCCAGGGACCACUUGAUUUAAAAGGCUACAUCCCUGUUGAAUAGUGUUUCUACUCAAACAUGUACCUAUAAAUAUUAAAUAUAAUAUAUAAAUAUUAAAACGAGAGGCACUGAA